rfam:Synechococcus phage S-SKS1 genomic sequence.
UAACUGUUUGUAACACCCCUCAAACCAAGACCUAUAGGGUGUCUAAACACGUCUUUCAUAUCCCAGACUUAGGGUGUCUGGGAAAUAGUAACUCCA